CGUUCCGGUGGUGAUAACGAGGUAACGCGCACGCUAAGGAAUCACACGUAGCAAAAGCUUGUUUCCCUCACUCUGUUUCCAUCGCAAUUUCUUUAUCAAACGACAAGUUUGACGAGUUGCUGGGGCUAUCAUUUUCGAAAUCAGCCUCUUUAUCUUCGUUCCGUUCUGCGCUGUUCGAUUUCCGCAAUUUCUCAGCAUUUGGACGUUGCCCUCACCACGGAAGCCGGCGAUGCAGCCUGAACUGAUAUCGGAGCUUGCGUUCACCUUGGCCGCCAUCUUGCCAUAUGUCGUUGCGUGUGGUUGCACGCAAGAAUGCUUUGGUGAAUAGCUUUAACUUCAGCCGUCAGACCGGAAUUCACGUCGCUUUUUUUAGAAGGCUCCGCAGAGUGACUGAAAUAAUGCUGGCUUCUCACUUAUGCUGGAUAUUCCGGUGGUUCAAUGCUUCGAACCAAGGGUGUACGGACAGCCUGGUAAAGCUGCGUUUCCCAGCAGAAGAGGCCGCAACAUUUAGAGAGGUGCCACAAGUUGACUGAAAGAAUGCUGGUUGCUCGUGCGCUGCAUGGCCUCCUCGUGGCUCAUGGUUCGAGCAAUGCAGGGAGCGACAGCCGGGCGAAGUUGCGCAUCCCUGCAAACGAGUGCCGAGAACAAACGAUCGACGUUCUUCUCAACGUGCGGUUGGUCAAAGGCGAUGCUGGCUUUUCGUGCCGCCUCACCUGGUCAAGCACUGGAGGCCGCAUUGUGGCCGACUAUACGAAUCAAGCCAGCCAGAGGCCCGGUGUCUUGCUGCCUGACCUAGGGAACUGGCGGCCAGGCCUUCUAGCGCGAUGGUGCCUCGCAGCCUCCACUGCAUAUCCUGCGACCUGGUACCUCAGUACCGGCCCUGCUAACCUGGUGUCCAGCUGUUCUACCUGCGUGGUGUGUUGCUGCGCGCCUCGUAGACCUGGUGGCAAGCUGUUGCUGUGGCCUCCGCGGCCGCUGUCCAGAACAUCGCGCAUGCGUUAAGGGAUCACAGCCGGGUGAAGUUCCUGUUCCCUGCAGACGAGAACGAACCGCACGAGAUCGAAAUGGUUGUGCCGUGCACGAGUCUGUCAGGCAAAGACGAUGCUGGUCUUUCGUGCUUCAUUACAAGGUCAAGCGUGGGAGACAGCACGUUGGUCCAGUGUACGAGCCAUUGAAGGUUGGAUUCGGCGUCCUAGCGUCCUGGUGUCUUGGUCACCGCCCUGCUAACCUGGUGACAAGCAUUUCUUGCACACUGGCACCUUCAUGGUCCCCGUUGACCUCCUGGCCAGCUCUUCCAUCAGCCGGGUGUCUUGCUGCCCGCCCUGUGGAUCAAGCAGCCACCUGUUCUUGCGAAAUGCUUGCCCUGCACGCGAGGUGAUGAUCUGUUCCAGCGACUUCACGUGUCGCGGCGAGCAAUGCGGUUUCUCAAACUCUUCCAGUGGAACGGUAUCUUGUGGCCUGGCCUGGGGAACCUUUUGGCCAGCUGAUCUGACGACCUGGUCCUCAUCGGGUCAAGCACUUGAUGCGUCACCGUGGCCAACUAUACGAGUAACGCCACCAAGCGGACCUGCGUCUUGCUGCCUGACAUGCGGAACGGGUGGCGAGACUUUCUAGCACGAUGGUGCCUGGGAGCCUCCACUGCCGAUCUGGCGGCCAGCUGACCUUGCGACCUGGUAUUUCAACGCCAGUCCAGCUGUUCUACCUUCAUGACCUGUUGCUUCGAUCCCCGUAGACCUGGUGGCAAGCUGUUCUUGAGGUCUCCUCGGCUGCUGAAAAGAUCGCACAUGCGCUAAGGAAUCACAGAAGUCCUCACGGGCGUCCAGGUGCUGCUGUUUAGUUCAAUACAAGCAGGGCUUGGCAGACAUUCUAACGGGCUAUACGCUGAUGUUUUCCUCGACAAGGAUUUUGCGCUUGUAGCGGAGCUGGCAGGAAGCUGUAUGUCGGGCUCAAGGAAGCAGUUGACGUAUUUGUGUCAAACUGAGGUCUCCGUGUCACCCUCAAAGAGCAACGUGCUCAUCGCAAGUGGCGAUGAUGGCGAGGACCUCCCCACCACGGACUUGGAACUACAAUCCCUCGAUCGGGAGCAACCUGCUGCCGGACCGCCGAACAGACGCUGACCCAGGCUGGAAAAGUUCACCUGGAACGUCAAGUCUCGAACCGGCGUCGGAGUGGCCACAUUUAUUGUCACGACAACGAGGCAAUUGACACCAUUGCUCGAAAUCCCGACAAACGCGUGGUUACACACAUACACACAAAUAAAGAGACUCCAAACAGCGCUGGCCGCAUGGCCAGGAGAGGACGACGAUGGCGGCGUUCAGCGCCGAUGACGUGCAAGACAACUCACGCUUUCGUACCACGAGUCCAACUAAUAAGUAUUUGCGGGGUAGAUCUUCAGUAGCCUCAGGAGAGGUUGGGGCGGGUCAUCGAAAUAGAGCUUAGGUAACACAGGCUUACGGAGUUACCCUGUUGGUAUCGGCAGAGGAAACUCGAGGAGUGAAACGGUGGGUGGCAUGAAUAGCCCGCCGAACGGAAAACCACGCACGCCGACGAAAUGUGAUGUUCACGGGAGCGUAUUCCCGCAAUGUGUUCUUCAUCCAGUCACCAAGGUGUUUCUGCACCCUUUUAACCCUGUACUGCACAACGCAGAUUCUGUAUAGUGCGCGUUUGAGAUUUCGUAAUUUAAAUUUGCGUACGUGGAACACAAGUAGCCGUACUAAUUCACCAUCAGGGUAUUUUCAUGUCCACUACAUGAAGAAGGCCUCUCCCAGCGAUCUCGCAUUACCGCUAUCCUGUGCCAGCUACUUCCAACUUGCACCUGCGAAUUUUCUCAUCUCAGCUCGACUGCGCUUCCAUUUUCUUGGCACCCAUUUUGUAACGCUAACGCUCCAACGUUUAUCCAUCCUGCGCAUUACAUAGCCUACCCAGCUCCAUUCCUUUCUCUUUAUUUCGAUUACAAUAGCGGGUAUCCCUGUUUACCCUCUAAUCCACAGCUCUUCUCCCGUCUCUGAACGUUACCCCUAACGUUAUUGGCCCCAUUGCUCUUUCCGCGGUCUUGUUCUCGAGCUUCUUCAACCUACAUGUUUCGGCCUCAUAUGUUGGCGCCAGUAGAAUGCAGUGAUUGUAGACUUUUUCUGCGACAGUGGUUUUUUCAGUCAUAGUGGCUUUUUCUCCCGCUCAGGAUCUGGCAAUGCUUGCCGUACGCACUCCAACUUAUUCUUUCUCUUCUCUAAAUUGCUUUGUCUUGAUGAGCGUCUCUUGCGACUUCUGACCUAGGUAGAUGGGCUCGUUCACAGACCCUAGAGGCUGAUUGGCAAUCCUGAACUGUUGUUCCCUUGCCAGGUUAUUGAUUAUUUCUCCUUCUGAUAUUAAUCCAACUGCACCAUUACACUUUUUGUUAAGGCCCUCAAUCAUAAGUAAUUCCUCCCCAGUGUUGCUUAACAGGACAUCGUCUGCAAACCUAAGGUUGCUGAGAUGUUGGCCGUUGAACCUCUCAUAGUCCAUCAUAUUUUGGCAGCUUCCGUACUGUGAAGCAUGCAGUGAAUACCAUUGGAGAGUUUGCGUCUCCUUCACUGACUGCUUUAUGCGUACAUUUCUACUUUUCUUGUGGAGAAAAAAGGUAGCUGAGGAAUCCUUUGAGCUAUUUCCGAAGAUAUUCACGUAUGCCAUAUGUACUUCUUGAUUACGUAAUACUUCUAUGAAAAUUCAUUUGAUUCCUUAGACACACCAGCAGUCGUAAUGAAUGAAUGAAAGGAUUGUAGAGUGGGUGCUCGUACUUUGCAGAUUUCUCGGUUGCCUUACUGAUGACAGGAGGAGGAAGAGAAGGGAAAGAAGAGAUCUGUUGAACAUCCCGAAGCCAGCCUUUUUUUUUUGCCUCACUGAGGUUGAGUGGUGGCUUUACUCAAUGGGAAAUUCGUGAAUUCGUGUGAGCCAUGUGGCGGUUGGGAUUAGGUUCGGAAUCUAAUUGCAAACGAGCGCUUGCUGAACUUAUUCUCAGUGGAAAUGUGUCCACGAAGACGAGAAAUAGAGGAAAUUCUACGAAUUUUUUUUAUGUGGAACUGUGUUUGGGCACUACAGGGUUAACUACUCCCUAAUAAUAUUCGCGUUAGUGUUGUGUGCUUUGAACAGAACUCCGCAAUGCAAGUAUUUGGAGACUUCCGCAACGAGCGGUCUCUUUAACGGACAACGAAGCCUCGUCGGACACGUUACUUAUACUGCAAUUCACAGAGAAUCGCAAAGACUCGCCAGAGGUUGAGUAAGUAAAAAAAAAAAAUCGGGCGAUGACCUAUGACGCGCGACUGGUGCGUAUCGAUUAUGUAGCCGGUGCAGUUACCCGUGCCACUGGCAUUAUGCGCGAGCUAAGCAAUCGUCGUUCAGGAUUGAAGAGACGGUUUGAUUGACCGGUUUAGCUUAGCGUUUGCAACCGAACAAUCGCAUUACGUACGUGAAGAAAUAUCGACCCUGGACACGUCCUGAACGUUAGUGGCGUUUUGCGGGUUGCGUGCGCUAUGAUAGCGUACGGUAUUCGACAAGUUUCAGGUUCGGGUGUCUCCGUACGCUUAGUAGUGUCGAGCAUGGCGGCGCCCAUGGCUCCAGCUCGUAUGUUCUGAUAACCGCUCUCUGAGACGCGUUUGUCGCCAGUACCUAUGAAACUGAGUGUUAUAGGUACUGGCGACCUCAAACUCUCCUCAAAUGUUACCGCAUAGCGCGUGAAAUUUCAGAGAUCAGCCGGCGAUUCCGGCGCCCGUAGGCGUAACCAGACACGUCGGCGUAGGAGCGGUGAGGCGUUUGCUAAUGGAUUGUCUUGUCUUGGCUUGGAUACGUUUGGCACGAGGACGGCGGUAUGUUUUGUGGAGCCUUUGCGUUUGUGCUCCCGUGCGGUAAACUGGUCUUGAACGGACGCACGCCGUAACAUCCCACAAAUCUGAUUACGUUUAGCGUAAAUCGGCAAACUCGCUUUAAAACCGUCUGAUCUUUCGUGCUCUAUUGAAGUUCCACCGCGUGCAUUUCUCUGGUGCCGUAUCCUUCGGAAUGAACGGCUGUACGCUUCUGCCUGGCCGGAGGCUUCCUGAAAGCUGUCCUAGAUGGUCUGCGUCUAAAAUGAAGAUUGCAAGACCCGAAAGGCGGUAGCUGCUCGAGACAAUGCAAAGUUGAGUUUGAUGUCUCCAUUCUGUGUGUGUGCGUGCGCACGCUGUUUCACACAACCAGAAAUUUGUAAGAACGUUCACUGGCUUGGAAAUAAACUCGUCUUGAAUAAACA